UUAAGUUCAGCGGGUAUCCCUACCUGAUCCGAGGUCAACAUUACUGCUUUCCACAGUAUGGGGGUCCAAUGGGAUGGAUUCUGACAAGCAUACAAACUGAUUUAGCAUCUUAAAAUACUCUGAAAGUCUGUUGCUAUGAUCUACAGUUCCGGCCUAUUCAUUCCAGCAGAGUGGGACCGGCAAUGCCAGCCCUAUUCACU
rnacentral:misc_RNA from 1 species